CGACCUUUUGAGCACCUUCUUGAAAAUCAAUGAUCAUUCGAUAGCUCGACUUGAGAUGCAUACACGAUUAACGAGCUGUUAGGUAAAGGAAAAGGCAAUAUCUGGGAAUAUUACAUGUAUGCCGCAACCGUUUCGGUGAUAGUGCUAGUCUUUGACGGUCCAAGAGAAUCCAUCUGGACUGUGAACUGACGAUGAAUUAAAUAAAAAUCUGCGGAAUGCUAUUUGCAAUAGUCUUGAAAAAUGGCGUCCGUAAAAUGUGAAUUAAUGAUUUUUGAGCCGUUAUGUUAAUGCUCGAAACAUAUUGCUGAAUCAAUUAUGGCGCAUUUCUCGUGCAUUAAUGGUGUUCUGUAACUGAUAUACCCAGUUAAUCAAAGAAAAUACCGAAUUAAAUAGAAACAUUAUGGGCUCAACAUUA